GGAAAAACAGUUUUGAUUCGUUUUAAAGACUGGUUCUCGCUACCUCGCCCAGGCUGGCCUUGAACUCACUAUGCACCUUGAUUUCUUGAUGGCUAACUAUGAGUACUGAAAAUUCCAACCAGGCAGCUCGUCGUGGUGUGUCCUCUCCUUAAAGAGUUAAGCCCAGCCUGGCCUGCCCGAGAGAAACCCUAAACAGGCGCCACAUUCUUGCAGCAACUCUGUCACAGUCUCAGCUCAAAGUGGCCUCCAGAUGAACAAGAAACCUCCUGUGUUCACCAGAGAGAACCAGCAACCAAUUAGGCUGCAUCCUGCUUUUACCACCCAGAUAAGAAACUGCGAGGAAUGCCCCGGGCUUCUGCAGCUCCAGAGAAGGUGUCUCACGGAGACUGAACUAGUAUUCAGACUGUUUUUUCUUGCUCUGCUUCAAACGAGGAAACCUGGGCCUGAUGAUGGGAGGGAACACCUGAAGCAAGAGCUUUCCACUGUGUCUUUUAACUCACUGAAACAGAUUUGCUGCCCGUAACUAAGGGGCAAAGGACUCACUGCUCACAGCCCUGUUCAGGACUGUGCACACACUCAUACACACACACACACACACACACACACACACACAUCUCUGGCUUCUCAUUUCACAAUCUUAAGAUUAUUUCUUCCUUUUCCCUUUGUUUAUUCAGUAGCCUACAGAAUGUCUUGCUCAGAUGGGGGUCCUGGAGGCAGAAGGAUGCCACAGUGCGGUGUGUGGGUAAUAUAAAUCCAGGUUACUUCCAAGGCAUCGGAAGGUGAUGGGAGCCAGUCUGGGUGUGAACUCCCAGCCAGUAGGGCUCCCCCCUCCCCCACAGAAGGUGUCUCAGACUGAGCCAGUCCUGUCUCCCCACUCUUUCAUAGGGGACACCACCCAGAAUGCCCUCAAUCAGGUUGCCCCAGAUCUGUUCCUGUAUUACACUUAAAGUUGUGUCACACAUUAUGAGCGAAGGGAUGUGGCUUGUUUUUAAAACGUUAUAAUAAAGGUGGUACACAUUGUGGUGUGUUUUUAUAA